rnacentral:lncRNA from 1 species
AAAACUGUGACUAUCAGUGUUUUAAAAAUUGCCCGGUAACUCUAGACUUCAAAAGUGGGAUAAGUAAUGAUAAACCAAUAAUAAACUUAGGAGAAGCAUAGUCUGCUUUAGUUAUAUUGUUAUGCCAUAUUAUGGUCAGUAACACAGUAAAGGCCUAAUUCAUCUGCUUUCUAAAUUGGUUCUGUACUUUUCUAGAAAAGCCUACAUGUAUAUACUUAGUUACAGCUGCACUUCUCCAUUACUUAUUUUUAGGAAGGUUAUAGAGAUGGAAUAGAUGCUGGCAAAGCAGUUACUCUUCAACAGGGCUUCAAUCAAGGUUAUAAGAAAGGUGCAGAAGUCAUUUUAAACUAUGGACGACUCCGAGGAACAUUGAGUGCUUUGCUCUCCUGGUGUCACCUUCAUAAUAAUAAUUCAACUUUGAUCAAUAAAAUAAACAAUCUUCUGGAUGCAGUUGGCCAGUGUGAAGAGUAUGUGCUCAAACAUCUGAAAUCAAUCACUCCACCGUCCCAUGUUGUAGAUUUAUUGGACUCCAUUGAGGAUAUGGACCUUUGUCAUGUAGUUCCAGCUGAGAAAAAGAUUGAUGAAGCUAAAGAUGAAAGACUCUGUGAAAAUAAUGCUGAGUUUAACAAAAACUGUAGCAAGAGCCAUAGUGGGAUAGAUUGUUCAUAUG